GAGUUUGAUCAUGGCUCAGAACGAACGCUGGCGGCAGGCCUAACACAUGCAAGUCGAACGGGAAGCCAUCCUUCGGGUUGGUGGAGAGUGGCGCACGGGUGAGUAACGCGUGGGAACCUACCUUUUGGUACGGAACAACCAAUGGAAACGUUGGCUAAUACCGUAUACGUCCUUUUGGGUGAGAGUCCUUAAGGAGAAAGAUUUAUCGCCGAGAGAUGGGCCCGCGUCCGAUUAGUUAGUUGGUGGGGUAACGGCCUACCAAGGCUGCGAUCGGUAGCUGGUCUGAGAGGAUGAUCAGCCACACUGGGACUGAGACACGGCCCAGACUCCUACGGGAGGCAGCAGUGGGGAAUAUUGGACAAUGGGCGCAAGCCUGAUCCAGCCAUGCCGCGUGAGUGAAGAAGGCCCUAGGGUUGUAAAGCUCUUUCACCCGCGAAGAUGAUGACGGUAGCGGGAGAAGAAGCCCCGGCUAACUCCGUGCCAGCAGCCGCGGUAAUACGGAGGGGGCAAGCGUUGUUCGGAAUUACUGGGCGUAAAGGGCGCGUAGGCGGUCUGUUGCGUCAGGUGUGAAAGCCCCGGGCUCAACCUGGGAGGUGCACUUGAUACGGGCAGGCUAGAAUCCGGGAGAGGAUGGUGGAAUUCCCAGUGUAGAGGUGAAAUUCGUAG
rnacentral:rRNA from 1 species